rnacentral:rRNA from 4 species
GCAGUCGAACGAACUCUGGUAUUGAUUGGUGCUUGCAUCAUGAUUUACAUUUGAGUGAGUGGCGAACUGGUGAGUAACACGUGGGAAACCUGCCCAGAAGCGGGGGAUAACACCUGGAAACAGAUGCUAAUACCGCAUAACAACUUGGACCGCAUGGUCCGAGCUUGAAAGAUGGCUUCGGCUAUCACUUUUGGAUGGUCCCGCGGCGUAUUAGCUAGAUGGUGGGGUAACGGCUCACCAUGGCAAUGAUACGUAGCCGACCUGAGAGGGUAAUCGGCCACAUUGGGACUGAGACACGGCCCAAACUCCUACGGGAGGCAGCAGUAGGGAAUCUUCCACAAUGGACGAAAGUCUGAUGGAGCAACGCCGCGUGAGUGAAGAAGGGUUUCGGCUCGUAAAACUCUGUUGUUAAAGAAGAACAUAUCUGAGAGUAACUGUUCAGGUAUUGACGGUAUUUAACCAGAAAGCCACGGCUAACUACGUGCCAGCAGCCGCGGUAAUACGUAGGUGGCAAGCGUUGUCCGGAUUUAUUGGGCGUAAAGCGAGCGCAGGCGGUUUUUUAAGUCUGAUGUGAAAGCCUUCGGCUCAACCGAAGAAGUGCAUCGGAAACUGGGAAACUUGAGUGCAGAAGAGGACAGUGGAACUCCAUGUGUAGCGGUGAAAUGCGUAGAUAUAUGGAAGAACACCAGUGGCGAAGGCGGCUGUCUGGUCUGUAACUGACGCUGAGGCUCGAAAGUAUGGGUAGCAAACAGGAUUAGAUACCCUGGUAGUCCAUACCGUAAACGAUGAAUGCUAAGUGUUGGAGGGUUUCCGCCCUUCAGUGCUGCAGCUAACGCAUUAAGCAUUCCGCCUGGGGAGUACGGCCGCAAGGCUGAAACUCAAAGGAAUUGACGGGGGCCCGCACAAGCGGUGGAGCAUGUGGUUUAAUUCGAAGCUACGCGAAGAACCUUACCAGGUCUUGACAUACUAUGCAAAUCUAAGAGAUUAGACGUUCCCUUCGGGGACAUGGAUACAGGUGGUGCAUGGUUGUCGUCAGCUCGUGUCGUGAGAUGUUGGGUUAAGUCCCGCAACGAGCGCAACCCUUAUUAUCAGUUGCCAGCAUUAAGUUGGGCACUCUGGUGAGACUGCCGGUGACAAACCGGAGGAAGGUGGGGAUGACGUCAAAUCAUCAUGCCCCUUAUGACCUGGGCUACACACGUGCUACAAUGGAUGGUACAACGAGUUGCGAACUCGCGAGAGUAAGCUAAUCUCUUAAAGCCAUUCUCAGUUCGGAUUGUAGGCUGCAACUCGCCUACAUGAAGUCGGAAUCGCUAGUAAUCGCGGAUCAGCAUGCCGCGGUGAAUACGUUCCCGGGCCUUGUACACACCGCCCGUCACACCAUGAGAGUUUGUAACACCCAAAGUCGGUGG